UGCUCUGUUGCUCCAUCAGCAUGACUUAAUCCAUGUUACACUGACGGUGUGACAGUCGCUCUAGCAUCUGCAAGAAAUUAAAUGAUUAUUUGAACCGAUUUAACCGACACUCUCCAGCAGCAACCAGUCACGAGCCCAUCUUCACACAAAUGCCCACACACGGCACGAGCUUGUUUAAUAGAAAUCAACUCUGUCACUCCUGAACACCGCCCAACGGAGUAAACUGAAAUUAAUUUAGUUCGAGUUGGUUUAUUCAGGCAGAGGAAGCAGCUGGGCUCAGAGGAGCGAUGAGGUCUCUUUGGGGAUCCAGGGGGAAAGAUCCAGGCCUCUACACCCAUCACACUUCCAUAGCGGUGGAUCAGUGAUCAAAGCUGAGGUCGGACAUGUGGAGCUCGAAUGAUGAGGAGAGGGAAAUUGAGCUGGAGUCCUGGUGUAGACGCCUCAGAGUUCCUGUCCAGCUGACCGGAGGGUGGAGAAGAUUUUACACCUCUCUGACACACAUAAACAAACCAACUCUCUAAUUCACACUCGCUCCCUCUCAGAGACACGCAUACAGGCUGGAUUCCAUCCAGAAAAUAAAAUAAAACGUUUUUGGAUACUUAUUUUUUAAAGUUAAAGGUACUGUUCACUACCCGUUUUGGUAUCUGUCUCUA